AGCCAUGUCAGUGAUAUGGUUAUUGUAUUAGUAUUGUUAUAACAAUCUGGAUUAUUUUUAUGAAAAAGACAUUACUAGCUAGUUCUCUA
rnacentral:sRNA from 19 species